rnacentral:rRNA from 1 species
CGAACGGGUGAGUAACGCGUGGGUAACCUACCUCUUAGCGGGGGACAACUAUUGGAAACGAUAGCUAAUACCGCAUAACAAUAAUUAACACAUGUUGAUUAUUUGAAAGUACCAAUUGGUACACUAGGAGAUGGACCCGCGUUGUAUUAGCUAGUUGGUAGUGUAAUGGACUACCAAGGCGAUGAUACAUAGCCGACCUGAGAGGGUGAUCGGCCACAUUGGGACUGAGACACGGCCCAAACUCCUACGGAAGGCAGCAG